GCCUGGGUGGCUUAGUCGGUUAAGCAUCUGACUUCAGCUCAGGUGAUGAUCUCACGGUUCAUGGGUUCGAGCCCUGCGUCGGGCU
rnacentral:tRNA from 1 species